AGUUCUAUACUUUAACUAAAAGAUUUGAUUUGCAAUCAGCCAUUGAGCAUUGUGCCACUCUAGAACUA
rnacentral:tRNA from 1 species